rnacentral:rRNA from 1 species
GACGAACGCUGGCGGCGUGCUUAACACAUGCAAGUCGAACGGAAAGGCCCUUCGGGGUCCUCGAGUGGCGAACGGGUGAGUAACACGUGGGUGAUCUGCCCUGCACUUUGGGAUAAGCCUGGGAAACUGGGUCUAAUAUCGAAUAGGACCACGCGCUUCAUGGUGUGUGGUGGAAAGCUUUUGCGGUGUGGGAUGGGCCCGCGGCCUAUCAGCUUGUUGGUGGGGUAAUGGCCUACCAAGGCGACGACGGGUAGCCGGCCUGAGAGGGUGACCGGCCACACUGGGACUGAGAUACGGCCCAGACUCCUACGGGAGGCAGCAGUGGGGAAUAUUGCACAAUGGGCGCAAGCCUGAUGCAGCGACGCCGCGUGAGGGAUGACGGCCUUCGGGUUGUAAACCUCUUUCAAUAGGGACGAAGCGCAAGUGACGGUACCUAUAGAAGAAGCACCGGCCAACUACGUG